rnacentral:rRNA from 1 species
CACUGAGGCACGAAGGCCAGGGGAGCAAACGGGAUUAGAUACCCCGGUAGUCCUGGCAGUAAACGGUGCACGUUUGGUGUGGGAGGAUUCGACCCCUUCUGCGCCGGAGCUAACGCGUUAAACGUGCCGCCUGGGGAGUACGGUCGCAAGAUUAAAACUCAAAGAAAUUGACGGGGGCCCGCACAAGCGGUGGAGUAUGUGGCUUAAUUCGAUGCAACGCGAAGAACCUUACCUGGCCUUGACAUGCAUCUCUAAGCACGUGAAAGCGUGUGAGUCCCGAAAGGGACAAUUUGCACAGGUGCUGCAUGGCUGUCGUCAGCUCGUGUCGUGAGAUGUUGGGUUAAGUCCCGCAACGAGCGCAACCCCUGUGAACUGUUGCCACCGACCCGCGAGGGUCGAGCACUCUGUUCAGACUGCCCUGUGAAACGGGGAGGAAGGUGGGGACGACGUCAAGUCAGUAUGGCCCUUACGGCCAGGGCUGCACACGUACUACAAUGCCCAGUACAGAACGAUCCGAGACCGCGAGGUGGAGGAAAUCUAGUAAAACUGGGCCCAGUUCGGAUUGGAGUCUGCAACUCGACUCCAUGAAGCCGGAAUCGCUAGUAAUGGCGUAUCAGCUACGACGCCGUGAAUACGUUCCCGGGCCUUGUACACACCGCCCGUCACAUCAUGGAAGUCGCUUGUAGCCGAAGCCGGCGCGUCAACCCAGCAAUGGGAAACAGCCGUCUACGCUAUGAGCGGUAACUGGGAUGAAGUCGUAACAAGGUAACCAAGGG